rnacentral:rRNA from 1 species
UGGGGAAUCUUGGACAAUGGGCGAAAGCCUGAUCCAGCCAUUCCGCGUGAAUGAUGAAGGCCUUAGGGUUGUAAAAUUCUUUCAGCGGGGAAGAUAAUGACUGUACCCGCAGAAGAAGCCCCGGCUAACUCCGUGCCAGCAGCCGCGGUAAUACGGAGGGGGCUAGCGUUGUUCGGAAUUACUGGGCGUAAAGCGUGCGUAGGCGGACCAGCCAGUCAGAGGUGAAAGCCCGGAGCUCAACUCCGGAAUUGCCUUUGAUACUGUUGGUCUAGAGUUCAGGAGAGGUGUGUGGAAUUCCGAGUGUAGAGGUGAAAUUCGUAGAUAUUCGGAGGAACACCAGAGGCGAAGGCGACACACUGGACUGAUACUGACGCUGAGGUGCGAAAGCGUGGGGAGCAAACA